UAUAAAGAAAAGAUUGGUGCAGUGGCCAACAGUAGGAUGUGGAACGCAGGGAUAGGAGGAGGUUUGGAGUUCGAGCUGCUGUGCGCGCGGAGGACCAAUUUUGUUGCUCGCGUGGGGAAGGAGUUGGAGUCUGAUCAAGACUCUCUUAACGGCGUGCUGAAGCGGUGCAAGGGGUGGAUAAGGCUGCUAAACGGUGGGAAGGAGUUUGAAUAAAAUUCAAACUGUGCUAAGGGCUAAAAUUAAGGAGC
rnacentral:lncRNA from 1 species